rnacentral:sRNA from 1 species
UCCUUCUCUUUGAUAGGCUCCCUGUUGAAGAGGAGGACCUUCCCUCAAAAGAGGAGGAUCGGUCAGUCUUCAGUCAAGGGUAUAAAAGUAGCUAUGUUCCCUUGCUAGAACCUCCAAACAAGGUCUCGAGGUCUGUUUUCUUGUCCUUCGGCUAUUUUGUAAUACUCAAGGUAUGC